rnacentral:rRNA from 1 species
GGUUAAGCGACUAAGCGUACACGGUGGAUGCCUAGGCAAUCAGAGGCGAUGAAGGACGUGCUAAUCUGCGAUAAGCGUCGGUAAGGUGAUAUGAACCGUUAUAACCGACGAUUUCCGAAUGGGGAAACCCAGUGCAAUUCGUUGCACUAUCGUUUGAUGAAUACAUAGUCAAACGAAGCGAACCGAGGGAACUGAAACAUCUCAGUACCUCGAGGAAAAGAAAUCAACCGAGAUUCCCCUAGUAGCGGCGAGCGAACGGGGAGCAGCCCAGAGUCUUAAUCAGCAUUAGCAUCAGGAGAACGGUCUGGAAAGGCCGGCAGUAAAGGGUGAUAGCCCCGUAUCCGAAGGUGUUAGUGUUGUGAACUCGACGAGUAGGGCGGGACACGUGUUAUCCUGUCUGAAUAUGGGGGGACCAUCCUCCAAGGCUAAAUACUCCUGAUUGACCGAUAGUGAACCAGUACCGUGAGGGAAAGGCGAAAAGAACCCCGGCGAGGGGAGUGAAAUAGAACCUGAAACCGUGUACGUACAAGCAGUGGGAGCACCUUUAUGGUGUGACUGCGUACCUUUUGUAUAAUGGGUCAGCGACUUAUAUUCUGUAGCAAGGUUAACCGUAUAGGGGAGCCGUAGGGAAACCGAGUCUUAACUGGGCGAAUGAGUUGCAGGGUAUAGACCCGAAACCCGGUGAUCUAGCCAUGGGCAGGUUGAAGGUUGGGUAACACUAACUGGAGGACCGAACCGACUAAUGUUGAAAAAUUAGCGGAUGACUUGUGGCUGGGGGUGAAAGGCCAAUCAAACCGGGAGAUAGCUGGUUCUCCCCGAAAGCUAUUUAGGUAGCGCCUCGUGAACUCAUCUUCGGGGGUAGAGCACUGUUUCGACUAGGGGGUCAUCCCGACUUACCAACUCGAUGCAAACUACGAAUACCGAAGAAUGUUAUCACGGGAGACACACGGCGGGUGCUAACGUUCGUCGUGAAGAGGGAAACAACCCAGACCGCCAGCUAAGGUCCCAAAGUCAUAGUUAAGUGGGAAACGAAGUGGGAAGGCUCAGACAGCCAGGAUGUUGGCUUAGAAGCAGCCAUCAUUUAAAGAAAGCGUAAUAGCUCACUGGUCGAGUCGGCCUGCGCGGAAGAUGUAACGGGGCUAAACUAUGCACCGAAGCUGCGGCAGCGAUAUGUAAAUAUUGUUGGGUAGGGGAGCGUUCUGUAAGCCUGUGAAGGUGUACUGUGAGGUAUGCUGGAGGUAUCAGAAGUGCGAAUGCUGACAUAAGUAACGAUAAUGCGGGUGAAAAACCUGCACGCCGGAAGACCAAGGGUUCCUGUCCAACGUUAAUCGGGGCAGGGUGAGUCGACCCCUAAGGCGAGGCAGAAAUGCGUAGUCGAUGGGAAACGGGUUAAUAUUCCCGUACUGGUGAUAAUUGCGAUGGGGGGACGGAGAAGGUUAGGCUGGCCGGGCGACGGUUGUCCCGGUUUAAGGAUGUAGGCAGGUGAAUUAGGCAAAUCCGGUUCACUAUAUGCUGAGGUCUGAUGACGAGUCACUACGGUGGCGAAGUAGCUCAUACCCCGCUUCCAGGAAAAGCCUCUAAGCUCUAGAUUAUCAUUAAUCGUACCCCAAACCGACACAGGUAGUCAGGUAGAGAAUACUCAGGCGCUUGAGAGAACUCGGGUGAAGGAACUAGGCAAAAUGGUGCCGUAACUUCGGGAGAAGGCACGCUGGCAUUAGGUGAAGUGAUUUACUCAUGGAGCUGAAGCCAGUCGCAGAUACCAGCUGGCUGCAACUGUUUAUUAAAAACACAGCACUGUGCAAACACGAAAGUGGACGUAUACGGUGUGACGCCUGCCCGGUGCUGGAAGGUUAAUUGAUGGGGUUAUCCGUAAGGAGAAGCUCUUGAUCGAAGCCCCAGUAAACGGCGGCCGUAACUAUAACGGUCCUAAGGUAGCGAAAUUCCUUGUCGGGUAAGUUCCGACCUGCACGAAUGGCGUAAUGAUGGCCAGGCUGUCUCCACCCGAGACUCAGUGAAAUUGAACUCGCUGUGAAGAUGCAGUGUACCCGCGGCAAGACGGAAAGACCCCGUGAACCUUUACUAUAGCUUGACACUGAACAUUGAGCCUUGAUGUGUAGGAUAGGUGGGAGGCUUUGAAGCGUGGACGCCAGUCUGCGUGGAGCCAACCUUGAAAUACCACCCUUUAAUGUUUGAUGUUCUAACGUAGCCCCGUAAUCCGGGGUGCGGACAGUGUCUGGUGGGUAGUUUGACUGGGGCGGUCUCCUCCCAAAGAGUAACGGAGGAGCACGAAGGUUGGCUAAGCAUGGUCGGACAUCAUGCGGUUAGUGCAAAGGCAUAAGCCAGCUUGACUGCGAGAGUGACGGCUCGAGCAGGUACGAAAGUAGGUCUUAGUGAUCCGGUGGUUCUGUAUGGAAGGGCCAUCGCUCAACGGAUAAAAGGUACUCCGGGGAUAACAGGCUGAUACCGCCCAAGAGUUCAUAUCGACGGCGGUGUUUGGCACCUCGAUGUCGGCUCAUCACAUCCUGGGGCUGAAGUAGGUCCCAAGGGUACGGCUGUUCGCCGUUUAAAGUGGUACGCGAGCUGGGUUUAGAACGUCGUGAGACAGUUCGGUCCCUAUCUGCCGUGGGCGUUGGAAGAUUGAAAGGGGCUGCUCCUAGUACGAGAGGACCGGAGUGGACGCACCACUGGUGUUCGGGUUGUCAUGCCAAUGGCAUUGCCCGGUAGCUAAGUGCGGAAGAGAUAACCGCUGAAAGCAUCUAAGCGGGAAACUUGCCUUGAGAUGAGUCUUCCCUGACCCUUUAAGGGUCCUAAAGGAACGUUUAAGACUAAGACGUUGAUAGGUUGGGUGUGUAAGCGUAGCGAUACGUUGAGCUAACCAAUACUAAUGAACCGUGAGGCUUAACCUG